AGGAUGAACGCUGGCGGCGUGCUUAACACAUGCAAGUCGAACGAUGAAGGCUGGAGCUUGCUCUGGCUGGACUAGUGGCGAACGGGUGAGUAACACGUGAGUAACCUGCCCCAGACUCUGGGAUAAGCGCUGGAAACGGCGUCUAAUACCGGAUACGAGCUUCCACCGCAUGGUGAGGAGCUGGAAAGAAUUUCGGUCUGGGAUGGACUCGCGGCCUAUCAGCUUGUUGGUGAGGUAAUGGCUCACCAAGGCGACGACGGGUAGCCGGCCUGAGAGGGUGACCGGCCACACUGGGACUGAGACACGGCCCAGACUCCUACGGGAGCAGCAGUGGGGAAUAUUGCACAAUGGGCGCAAGCCUGAUGCAGCAACGCCGCGUGGA
rnacentral:rRNA from 1 species